rnacentral:rRNA from 1 species
YUKYWGARKKCGCCCUUAGGAAGCACCGGCUAACUCCGUGCCAGCAGCCGCGGUAAUACGGGGGGUGCAAGCGUUGUUCGGAUUUAUUGGGCGUAAAGCGCGUGUAGGCGGUUUUAUAAGUCUGAUGUGAAAGCCCUGGGCUCAACCCGGGAAGUGCAUUGGAUACUGUAAGACUUGAAUACGGGAGAGGGCAGUGGAAUUCCUAGUGUAGAGUGAAAUCCGUAGAUAUUACGAGGAACACCGGUGGCGAACGCGGCUGCUGGACGAUAUUGACGCUGAGACGCGAAAGCGUGCGUAGCAACAGAUUAGAUACCUGUAGUCACGCGUAACGAUGAGAACUAGUGUCGCGGUAAGGCGAUUCAGCACACUGCGGCRUUACUAGUGAUCGAGCUCGUACAAGCUGCGUAUCAUGUCAUASUGUUCUGA